GUAGUCCAGGAGGUCUCCGUAGGGAGAGCCACUUCCGCCCAAGCCUUGACUUCUUGAAAAAGGCUGCAGGGAGAAGGAGGGAAUAACCCUUUGGCACUUGGCAGCGGAGUCUCACCUGAGUAGUACUUAUCAUCCUUUUUUCCCAGGGAGACAAUAUUUCCUUCAUUCAUUGGCAAAUUCUGCUCGAAGAUGCCCUGAUAUUUGUUCAAUAAAUGCAGAAACGGAUGAGGGAGAACUUGGGCAUGAGUAAUAAAGAUAGUAUUUAAACAUUGA